rnacentral:ncRNA from 2 species
AUCGAACUUCGGGGCGGGGUGAAAUUCCCCACCGGCGGUGAUUUUGUUGCAGAUUGCGGUGGCAACUCAGCAAACAGCCCGCGAGCGCCUGAGACCAUUGAUGGCCGCAGGGACAGCAGAUCCGGUGAGAUACCGGAGCCGACGGUGAUAGUCCGGAUGAAAGAAGAUCGAC